GUGAUCAUUUUGGCAGCACAUAUACUGAGACUGGAACAAUACAGAGAAGAUUAGUCGAGCCUCUGCACAAGGAUGACACGAAAUUCGGGAAGCUGGCCAUAUUUUC